CAAUUGCUUUUCCUUUAAGCAGUUGUUGUAUGUGUUCUCUGUUUCUCACUGUUUCUUUUCGUUGAGCAUGAAAAUGGAGAAGCGAGCGGCUUUAGGAGUAAAAAAGAGAAAGAAACCCAUCAAAACAAACAGGAAAACAUUGCUAAAGAAAGUUGUGGAUUAUCUAAAAUCUGAUUCUUACUUGUUUGCUCCUUUGAUAUCAUCAUCUCCACGAACUGAUCAGUUUCUAGCAUCAAAGAUUGUCUCUUCUACUUCUUCGUCUACUACUACAAGUGCAGUGGAAAUGAAGGAGAAUAUGAAAGGGAAGAAGAAGAGGUUUGCAGAGAAAGUUGGGGAUUAUCUGAAAUCAGAUGGUUAUUUAUAUGCUCCUGUGUUUGCUCCUAAAUUAGUAAUUUUCCCUAAAGGUGUUGGCAAGUACAGUACACGGGUUAAUGCGGGCUCUAUGAGGAAAUUAAUUAACGGGGAGAAUCGAUCCACUGUUAAGACGUCAAAUGUAACAGUAGAGGAGGACCGAUUUACCCAGGGCGAUCUCCCUGAAAGUAGCAUUCCAGGUCAACAAAAGUUGGUGCACAGGGAAACAGUGAAGCACAUGGUGUACCAAAGUUGUCGCUCAUCUUCUGUGUCAGGAUACCAUAAUUAACAUUUGGUGUGCAAACCUUAUUGGAAAAGUAUGUAGGACAGUAUUAAUUAUUAGAGGGAAAGGAAUGCUUGAUUCACAGCUAAGAAAGAUUCUCUCAUUGAGUAGACAAUGAAGAAGUUGGGCAAGUAGACAGAAGCAUCCUUAUGCUUGGAGAGAGUGAUAAAUUUUUACUGGUUGUAUUUUCCAUUUCUGUUGUUGUGUGCACAUGUUUAUGGUUUCAUAUAUGUUUUACUUGGGAGUGGUAGCUGUAAAUGAAUUUGGCGUUGGAUA